CAUCUUGAUGUUGACAAAAAAUGACCCACUCACGUCUCCUUGAUGUCAGAUUUCUCGCGUGGAACAGGGUGACUCUUCAGCGCCGUGUUUGUUAUUAUCAAACAUCUCAUCUUGCGGCAAAUGUCCACCAGUUAUGCUAAUUAGCAUGCAAUUGACAGUUAGCGCUUCCUCUGCGUCAAACUCCACAUUUUCACCACCUGCCUGUCCAGAUACUUUUCCGGUUUCCACAAACACUUUUUUCCUCCAUUUUGUCCUUCGUUAGUGUAUGAAUGCUUUUGUGCAACUUUUGUUUCUUCCCAUUGGCAUCCCAAUACUUUUGCCAAAAUUGUCCAUUUUCACCAAUUUUCUCUUCUAACGUGUGUCUCAAUACUUUUGCCCACUAUUUCAUCAUUUUUCCAAUUUACGUAGGCGUCCCAAUACUUUUUUUUUCCAAACUCCACCUUUCAACUUCCCUUUGGUGUUCUGCUUCUUUUACCCGCAUUUUCUCCACUUUUGGCUUCCCUGAGGUGUCCCGCUUCUUUUACCCGCAUUUUCUCCACUUGUGGCUUCCCUGAGGUGUCCCGCUUCUUUUACCCACAUUUUCUCCACUUUUGGCUUCCCUGAGGUGUCCCAAUUCUUCAGUCCAAACUGCACCGUUUCCCUUCUUGUAGGCAUGCCAGCACACCAUGUUCUCGACAUUUUCUUGCCUUUCUUUCCGCGUCCAAUGAGAGCGGCUUAAGUAUGCACAUAAAGGAGCGGUGAGGAGAUGCUGGAUUUCGCGUCUUUCUGCAAGAACGCUUACCGUAUGGAGAGAAAAAAAAAUGACUGGAAAAGACAAACCCGCAUUGAGCAUUCUUAGCGCGGGCGUGCAUGAAUUUUUAGCAGCAUAUUGAUUAAAUCAAGCCCCCCCUCC